ensembl:lncRNA
GUCGUGGCUAUAUUUAUUGUCUCUCCCUGCCAACCUCAGCCUGGCUUCAUAUAGAGCAGAGGGCCCGGGAGGCUGAGCCUGUGAGAAAUGCAAAUUCUCGGCUCCACCUCAGACAUUCGCAAUCAGAACCUCUGGCCUGGGGACUGGGCGCUCUGUGUGAGCGAUUUCUUGGGAGACUUGCAUCUCGGCCAGUCUGAGAGCGCCCAUCUGGAGAUCCUAACGUGUGACUCGCCCCCCGACACUCACCUUGCUCUCUCCCUGCCCCGCCUCAUUCCUGGAACAGUCCGCGCUGCAGGUGUGGGAAGAAAGUAAGAAGCUUCUGAAAGAAUUUUCCAAAUUAACUCAAAUUGCCAGUGGUCUGCUUCUGUCUCCUGACGACAUCUUCCUUGGAAGAAGACUAAGGUUCUUGAUUUCCUUCUACUCGAAGCUGUGGCCCUGAAGGCAGAGCGGCUGAGACAGUGGACGUGGGAAUGAAUGGCCACUGAAUCUCUUGACCUAGAAUUGUGCUCCUAGAGAAGGCUUUCCACCUUCCCCCCGGGGCCCAUUCAUUGAGGACGACUUGGGUACUUUGGUGGCAAGCAACAGAAGUGGAUUCUGCUACCUUAAUGAAGAAAAAAAGGUGGGUGCUGAAGUACAUACACUUGGGAGCUAUGAACACAUUCUGCGUAUAUAUUCUGGGAGCUGAGACAGCUCAACUAGUCUGCAGAGAGAAAAAUGAAGCAGGUGUGCAGUGGAAAGCACAGAAACGUCUAUUGGGGCUUGGACCAAUAAAUGUGGAAGGAGGAAGAGAGAAGAAUUUGUCUGCCUGGUCAUAUCUCCCAUUGGUCAAAGUGGGCUGCACAGAGCAUCAGGACCCCCACGCUUCCAAGUGGCUCUGUCUGGCGUCGCCCACAAAGGAAAGCCAGAUCCCCAAACAGCAGCAGAAGCAUCUGCAGCCUGAACCAGGGCACAUGGAGCCAGCGCAGCAACAGGGGAGCCCUGGGGCAGGAGGUGAGAGGCAUAUGGUGUGAGGCAUGAAGCAACAUGCUGUCGAGUUGUGCCUGCAAGCCACGUGAGGAACCGGGAACAUCUGCCACGAUGGACCCAGCCCAGCCAAGCAGGUUCAUCAUAACCCAGCAAGACUACGAAGAGCAGCUCCUCCCCACCUGGCGGCAUCCUGAACUGAAACCAGCCAGGCGCUUCCCCAGACCGGUGAGAACUGACCCCACCCAGGUUCCGCAGGCAGCCCAGCCUCAUGCUUCAUCGUGUGCAUCUUCCUCGUGCUCCAAGAAGGAGCCUGGCUCCGCUGUGUGUCUCAGCACCGUGAGACAAGGCCUUGGCCUUGAUGCUCUCACAACAGAAGCAUCCGCUCAUCCCCCAGACACGUCAUGGGGUGUGUCCAGCCCCAGGAGAGGAUUCUGCACUUGCUGGGUUUUCCUGCCAGAGGCGUGGUGGGAAUCGGUAAGGGGCUUGCUCACCUGCCAGGAGGAAGUGGCUGUGGCCUCUCCUUCCUGCCUUCCUCCGGCCACAGCUUUAGAUGACACAUUACAGCAGUGCUGCCUGCUGAGUUGUUUGGAGGGCAGCAUGGGCAGUGGGGAAAAAAGGGGGCUUGGAGUCCUGGGUUCAAAUCCCAGCUCCCCCAGUUACUGUGUGACCUUGGCAAGUGACAGCCUCUCGGGGCGUCUGUUGUCAUAUCUGUAGGAUGAGGAUAUGACACAGACCUGACUGGGUUAUAGUGAAAGUUCGGCUUUUCCCAUCCCCCUCUGACCCCAUUCCUACGGGCAGAGCAGCUUGCUUGUGUCUCCUAUACGAGGAUCAGCACUUGACAGCUGCCUCCAUCAAAUAUUCAACACCAGCAAGCCCCAGCACACGCUUCCUCUGCGCGCUGCCAUCCAGCAAAGUGCUCAUCCUUCCAGGGCUCAGUGGGGACCAUGGCACUUGGCAGUCUCCUUUCUUUUUGUUGUUUGCCGCAGCUGGUGGUGGAGGGCGGGGGCUGCUGUGCUGGACGCGAGACAGGGCUGGGUCAGAGCACACCAUCUCCAUCAUCAGCCGCCACCCUCGCCUUCCCGGCGAGCCACGGCUCUAUCCUUAGAGCCCGUAGGGAGCCCUGGAGCAGGGCCAUGGGAGGCAGCCCCUUGCACUGGAGGCCGGCCUGGUUUUCCAGGGGCCACUGUGCAGCCUUAAAAGGGCUGUCUCUGAGCAGACCCUCCUCCACUGCCCCUCUGAAUGAUACCUUAGUUAAAAUUCCCCCGGUGCUCUGAUUUCCAUUUACCCUCUUCUCCUCCCCCUUCCUUGGCAUUUCUUCAAAUCUUUUUCCUUUAAAUUUUUAAUUGAAGAAUAAUAUCUCUCACCUUUUUUUUCCCCAACAAGGAACAAGUUCAUGGCUGAGUAUUAAAAGGGUAUCCUGAGAGCACAGAAAAUGAAGACAGCUCUGUCACCAGCUUGUGGGUGACCCUGAGGAACAUGUGCAGGCUUCCGGUGUGGCUCCCUUAUUUAUUCCGGGAGAUGGCAGGUGGCAUGUUCCCAGCAGACAGGUGCUGGUGUCAGGAGCCCAGCACCUGUGUGCAUUAGACAGCAACGUUGGGUGGGGAAGAAGAGAGGUGGGUGGCAAGCCGAGGGACGCAGCCUUCCCUGCAUGCACAGGGGCGAGCUGAGCCCUGUGAAGGACUGGCCUGAGCGGGGACAUGUUCACAGAGGGAGCAAUUCUUGGUGAGGAGAGACAGUGAGGUCAUCCUCCUCCCAGGUGUGUCUUGGGAGAAGCGUGUCAGGGGGGAGUCGCAUGAUGAGGCCGCGGUUGAGUCAAUCUGCCUCGGAGAAGAGCUGGCAGCUGGGAGUAGGAGGGGAUGAGAGGUGAGGUGGCCGGAAGGGUCCUGAUAUGCAGGGAGGAGCUUUAUGGCCUAGUCUGGGCUGCCUAGAAUCCUCUGGUCACCUCUGCCCUUGUGCUAGCACGGCUGGCCACCUGGGCCAUUCCCUCACCUCAGCUCACUCAGCCUGCCCCACCCCUGGGCUGGAGGACACGCCUCAUUACAUAGUUUUCAGAUGGGUAAACUGAGGCAGGAGCCACUGCAGGCCCCGAGAGGAGGGGAAGAGAGCCAGGGAGCGACAACGCCCUGGUGAGGGUGAGGCACUCACAUCCGCCGCCCAGCCCUCCUUAGCCCUGUCAUGAGCAGUGUGCUCAGCUCCUGCCUCCCUCCUUCUCUGACCCUGACCCUUCCUGUUUCCCUGAGAGCCCUUGGCCCUCCCCGCCACCUCGCCCCCGGCCUGCACUGCCCGCGCUGCGACCACGUGCGGCGGCGCCUUGGUCCAGGGUCUUCCCUCUUCUCUGCUGCUCCUCGGUGGCUGCCCGCCGCAGGCGCGGGAGGAGGCAGGCGGCCGGUUCACCCGGAGGCCAGGGACUCCAGGCCACAGGGCACAGCCGAGCAUCCCCGCUGGGCAAGCCUCAGGAGCGGCUGGCGGCAGCAGGGGGCUGAAGGCCUGGUGGGGACAGGCAGCCCAGGCAGGAUGGAGCAGGCCCCAACUCCCAGCGAUGCCAAGGGCUCAGGGGCUUAGCGCUCGCUCUUGGGCUCGUGAACGGAAGCGGUGCUGCUCAUCCCCCAUCCUGCUAUCCCCAUCCCCCAUCCCCCAUCUCCCAUCUCCCAUCUCCCCAUCCGCCAUCCAAGUUCUUUGUCCUGUUUCAUUAGUUGAAUCAUGAGGCUUGACAGUACCGUAAAACUUGAAAUGUUCAAUUCUGCUUUUAAAAUGGAAAACUAAACAAAAACCAUUGUCCAGUGAGCUCCCAACCUAUCAGAGAGCAGAGCACUCGGUGGAGCCAGGGGCCUGGGCCACCAGCAGGCUGAGUGACCGUGGGCAGGUCACCUCAUCUCCCACCCCCUUGGGGUCCCUGGUUGUAAAUUGUUAGGAGUGGAUAUUUCUCCAAAGUUUCUCUGGUUUUCAGUAUUAUAAUGCUGAGUCUCAGAAACAUUGUUAGCAAGUAAUACAGUCAUAAAGCAAGUUACCACAAUAAUAACAAUAAAGUGUAACUACUCUGAUUUUUUAAAAUGCAAGUGUUUUAUUUUCAAAGGUGACUUGGAAAAUGCAGGAGUUAUCCCAAAGGGGAGGAACGUUUUCGUGUGGGACUGGUGUGGGGGCUGGGGCUGGUGUGGCGCACGCUCAGUAUUUCAGUUUCAGAUAGAGUUGGAAACUCGCUUCUCCCCAUUAAGCCCUGGAGGAAAUUAGUUACACUUCCUUGUGGAAGUGAAGAAGAGAUUCUCUGCGCCGUUCAAAAGGCCCUUUCACAAAGUUCUGGGACAAGCACUGCUGUGCGUGUGUGUGUGUGUGCGUGUGUGUAUGCGUGUGUGUGCGUGCAUGUGUGUGUGUGUGUGUGUGUGUGUAUGUGAGAGAGAGAGAGAGAGAAGGAGAG